UCAUAAGUUGAAAAAAAUACAUCGACCAUGUACAUGCUAAACACUUUAACACUUUUUAACAGCAUGGAUCGACUUAGUAUGCUAAUAAAAAUUACGUGCUUCACAUGACCUUUAUUCCUAUUACGAAUUGCAAGCAACACGUCGCCAGCAAUUAUCUGAAGCCACUAUAUAGCCUUUCGUAAUCCCAUUUAUAUCUAUAUAAUACCUGUGCUUACCAUGUGUACACAUCGUUCGUGUUUAUUUUAAGAAACCUCACUACUUUUGUAGAUAAAGUGAACUAAUACCCAUUUUUAUUUUAGAGGAACACAUACAAAGCGGCCGAAAAAGCUAAUGACCUUUCACUGAUGUACCAGUAAGCAACGGCCAUGGAUAACAUAAGGCCUGCUGUGUGACGAAGUAUGGUUAGGGAAUUGUCAGAUGUUUGCCGGAAUCGCAGCACGAUAUUCGACGGCGAUGCGAUCGGAUCUUAACUGUUGUUCGUUAUGGCUGGACGAGAUGUGAUGAGAUUUGGAUGAGCGACGAAAGAUAGCGCAAUGGACGAAUAAGAAACGCGUACGUCGGCCACGGCUGCCGUUUGGCGGAUCCGCUACCGUUUUAGAUUACGCCCACGCGCAACGCCGGACCGGGAAUAUGUGUCCGCUGCGUAUAUUGAGUAACCCGGCACAUGACCGGAAUAAGGAGUGGUCUACUCUGUGAAUAAGGGAGAGCAGUAAAUCGUGACCAUUUUCUGAUUCGUCAUUACUGCGAAGCAGCCUGUACAUGCGGUCCACAAGCUACAGUACACAACACUAACGGAAAUUGUACUUUGUUUUCGCCGCAUUUUUGUGCUAACUUUCCGCCACUUGUUGUGCACGAUAAAAUGCUUUUCUGAUUUGAGCCACAGAUUUCGAAAAAGAGAUCGGUUGAUUAAGUCUGCGCUUCCUUUCUGUACUAUCUGGAAAAUUCAUCUGGAUAUCUCUUGCAGCAUAUAUCACACAAAUUGGUCCGCUUUGUAGUUAGUCUGGCAAAAGUUAACGUUGGCCAAGUUACGUCUGGCCAAUGGUUAAUGGUGAUGAUAACAACUUACUAAAUACAAUUUAACUACAAAAAUAUUCUCGCAAUCGCGCAUGUGAUUAUUUUGCAGUAAUAACGAACAACAAAACAGAAAUCGAUCUGACAUUUUACAUGCAUUGACGAUGCCGAAAUUGGCAGUUAGCGGUUUUCGGGAAGCUCCGGAUAAGCGUUAAACACCAGAGUGAUGCCCGCGUAAUAACCUAUCGACUAAUAAGUAAUCAGCUGACCAACAUUUCCGGCGCUGCUAACCAAUGCAACAGCCACAGCACCCCGGACAAAGAAUAAAAAUAAAGAUUUCGGUUGCCCGAAGUGAUUAAGCACGGCGUGCGUCAUAAUUCAAAUACUAAUAACUUAUCAGUCAAUUGAUAGUUUGUACCGACGAAUGCCAUUGUACCGGUUUAAAUAUUUUUUAAAAUUUUUGUGAUAUACGACAGUUAAAAAAAUACUUGAGAACCUAUACAAAAGUUGAUUUGUACUAAGGACGCAGGACACUGCAAAUAGUGGACAAAAAACU